GCAACGAGCACGGAGCUGCUGGCUCUCUAUAUCCAGCGGCUCAGAGGCGCUCUGACUUUCAUUCAAUCCAGAGUCCUACACAGUCCAGGACCUGUGCAGGCGGCUGCAAGACAGGCUCUGAAUAGCACAACACGGACAACUUUCUCCCUUCUGAUAUUCUAAGAGGAUCUGCUCGUUGGGAUUAUAUUCGUCUAGGACUAUUAAAUAAUAUUAUAGAAAAAGUCGUGCGUCUUAAUUCUGUUUAAUUAUAACAGCUUCGCUUCUUGUUUGAUAUAUUAGUAAGCUGCAGCUGCAGUUUGAAACCUGUUUUUUAGAGGGUGAAGGACAAGUGCAAUGCGCUUCAGACUUGUCUCUUGGGAUUGUCCCAUUUGCGCCUGAGGAGAGCUAUGUCGAGCUGCCGCACAGAUUUUGUUCAAGAGGACGUAGUCCAAUGUGAAUAACAAGAAGCAACUUCCAGCCUCUUCAGCUUUUCAUUGGUUACAAGCAAGUGCAGCACGGAGUCUGACUGAGUCCGCUGAGCAGCUCAGACACCCCUGUUUCUCUCCCCGAGGGGAUGGUUGUGGAUCCUGUGGGGCCAGGAGCGAUUCUGCGGCUCCUACAGAAUAGCACCUUUUUCUUGUUCGGGGUUAAAUCGAAAUUAAAGGGAGAUGAGAGCCGCACUUUGUUACUUCCUGCUGUGGACGACGUACCUGCUGCUGGCCACCUCUGAGGAAGUGGAGUUUCCCCAGGAGCUGAUAGACAGACUGUCCCACAGUGAAAUCCACAGCAUCAGCGACCUCCAGCGGCUACUGGACAUUGACUCCGUAGGUACGGGAAACAAUGUUAUCGAGGAGCCCAAGCACCACAAGCACCACAACCACCAUAAGAACUACUCCCGCCAGCAUGGUUACUACAAUGACCUGAAGAGCUCUCAGCUCCACAGCCGACGCAAGAGGAGCAUCGUAGAGGAGGCGGUCCCGGCGGUGUGUAAGACGCGGACGGUGAUCUACGAGAUUCCCAGGAGCCAGGUGGAUCCCACGUCUGCCAACUUCUUGAUAUGGCCGCCGUGUGUGGAGGUGAUGCGCUGCACAGGCUGCUGCAACACGAGCAACAUGCGCUGUCACCCUUCCCGCAAGCACCACCGCACCGUUAAGGUAGCAAAGGUGGAGUACACGAGGAGGAAACCCAAGCUGAAAGAGGUCUUUGUGCGAUUAGAAGACCACCUGGAGUGUGUGUGCACACCGCAGCAUCAUGUGGUGGAGCACUCAGAUGCAGAAACAGGCCACCAUAGGGCUAAAGGUAAAAAAAGGAAACCUAAAAAGCUAAGGCCCAGCAAGGAUUUAUUGGCGACAUAAUAAAGUUGCACUCAUUACCCAAAGUCCACUGGAGAGCUGUGAAGGGAACAGUGGACGUGAGGUGAGACCAAUCAGAACAAGGGACUUCAGCGUGGGAGGGACCUAAAUAGAGGAUGCCACCAAGAGGAGACCUGCUCUGUCCUCUUCUCCACUGCCAUGCAACCUUCGUUUUAAAAAGACAAACUUUUCUGUUAAGACGAGAGACUGAAAAUAGCCAACAGACAAAAAUAAAUAAGAUGCCAAAGGUGCUUUUUUUAAAAACAGUAACCAGGGAUGAUGACUUCCUCUGUGGUAAGUCACCUACCCAGACAACUGAACCAUGCCGCUGAAUAAGAAGAAAAGAGAAAGAUGCUGUAGCUCGGGCAGGGCAGAAAGAGGCCGAAGGGAGAUGAUGAAAGCGAUUUGUGUUGAACAUUUUGAGACUUUGUUUAAACAAGACGCACAAAAAGAAUCUGCUAUGAAACAGUUGAAUCAAGCUUUCGUGGGAAUCUGGUGCUCAGACUCCAAAACAGCGGUGGAUGACCUCCAGCUGGGCAACAGAAAAGUGCCCUGCCCUGUUUAAAUGACUCUUGCAUACACAGGACAAAAGAAAGAGAUAUAGGAAAAACAAUGGAAAGAGAGAAAGAGAGAGACAAAUGGAGAUGUUUUUUUUUCUUCCAAAAGACUCUAUGGAGUAUCAAACAUUUAUAGUUUUGGAUGUUUGCUCUGAGUAAAGAGGGAAUCUUCUCUGAGACCCCUGGUGGUCUGUGACUUUGCCCAAUUGCUAUGUACAGUUAACGUUGAAAAGUAAGAUGCAUCGCUACUUACAAACUAUUUAUGUGUGGACGUUUGCUUUCUGUCUCUUCCAGUACAAAAGAAAGAACAACAAUAUGUUUUAAUGAUUUUGGAGACAUGCAAAAGCUCUGUGUGGUUCGGUUCUUUGUAACCAUCAGUCUCACAAUCUCAACGUCAUUUUUUUUUUAGUCGAUGUUAUUGUUGUCAUCCAUGUUUCUUAUUAUAUUACAGUAUAUCUGAAUGAUGUCAAGUCUUGUAUAUGGUUUGGAUAUAUGUGUGCAAGGAAGAGAUGUGAGAGUCAGUACAGGAAGAUGCUUUAUUUUUGUUAUGAAAUAUAUUAAGCUUACUUAUAUCUGAG